GGAGGAGGAGGGAGAACCAGUCUAGUAUAGAUACAUUAGAGAGGAGGAGGAGGGAGAACCAGUCUAGUAUAGCUACAUUAGAGAGGAGGAGGAGGGAGAACCAGUCUAGUAUAGCUACAUUAGAGAGGAGGAGGAGGGAGAACCAGUCUAGUAUAGCUACAUUAGAGAGGAGGAGGAGGGAGUACCAGUCUAGUACAGCUACAUUAAAGAGGAGGAGGAGGGAGAACCAGUCUAUGAUAGAUAUAUUAGAGAGGAGGAGGAGGGAGAACCAGUAUAGUAUAGAUACAUUAGAGAGGAGGAGGAGGGAUAACCAGUCUAGUAUAGCUACAUUAGAGAGGAGGAGGAGGGACAACCAGUCUAGUAUAGAUACAUUAUAGAGAAUAGGAGAAGGGAAAACCAGUAUAGUAUAGAUACAUUAGAGAGGAGGACGGAGAACCAGUCUAGUGUAGCUACAUUAGAGAGGAGGAGGAGGGAGAACCAGUCUAGUACAGCUCUAUUAAAGAGGAGGGAGAUCCAGUCUAGUAUAGCUACAUUAGGCAGGAGGAUGGAGAACCAGUCAUGUACAGAUAUAUUAGAGAGGCAGAGGAGGGAGAACCAGUCUAGUACAGCUCCAUUAAAGAGGAGGGAGAUCCAUUCUAGUAUAGCUACAUUAGAGAGGAGGAGGGAGAACCAGUCUAGUAAAGCUACAUUAAAGAGUAGGAGGAGGGGGAACCAGUCUAGUACAGCUACAUUAGAGUGGAGGAGGAGAGAGAACCAGUCUAGUACAGCUACAUUUGGGAGGAGGAGGAGGGAGAACCAGUCUAGUACAGCUCCAUUAAAGAGGAGGGAGAUCCAGUCUAGUAUAGCUACAUUAGAGAGGAGGAGGGAGAACCAGUCUAGUAAUGCUACAUUAAAGAUGAGAAGGGAGAACCAGUCUAGUAUAGCUACAUUAAAGAGGAGGAGGAGGGAAAACCAGUCUAGUAUAAAUACAUUAGAGAGGAGGAGGAGGGAGAACCAGUCUAGUAUAGCUACAUUAGAGAGGAGGAGGAGGGAGAACCAGUCUAGUACAGUUACAUUAAAGAGGAGGAGGAGGGAGAACCAGUCUAUGGUAGAUACAUUAGAGAGGAGGAGGAGGGACAACCAGUCUAGUAUAGAUACAUUAUUGAGAAUAGGAGAAGGGAAAACCAGGAUAGUAUAGAUACAUUAGAGAGGAGGACGGAAACCCAGUCUAGUACAGCUACAUUAGAGAGGCGGGAGAUCCAGUCUAGUAUAGCUACAUUAGAGAGGAGGAGCGAGGACCAUUCUAGUACAGCUAUAUUAGAGUGGAGGAGGAGAGAGAACCAGUCUAGUACAGCUCCAUUAGAGAGGAGGGAGAUCCAGUCUAGUAUAGCUACAUUAGAGAGGAGGAGGGAGGACCAUUCUAGUACAGCUAUAUUAGAGUGGAGGAGGAGAGAGAACCAGUCUAGUACAGCUACAUUAGGGAGGAGGAGGAGGGAGAACCAGUCUAGUACAGCUACAUUAAAGAGGAGGAGGAGGGAAAACCAGUCUAGUAUAAAUACAUUAGAGAGGAGGAGGAGGGAGACCAGCCUAGUAUAGCUACAUUAGAGAGGAGGAGGAGGGAGAACCAGUCUAGUAUAGCUACAUUAGAGAGGAGGAGGAGGGAGAACCAGUCUAGUACAGCUCCAUUAAAGAUGAGCGAGAUCCAGUCUAGUAUAGCUACAUUAGAGAGGAGGAGGAGGGAGAACCAGUCUAGUAUAGAUACAUUAGAGAGGAGGAGGAGGGAGAACCAGUCUAGUAUAGCUACAUUAGAGAGGAGGAGGAGGGAGUACCAGUGUAGUAC
ensembl:lncRNA